rnacentral:rRNA from 1 species
UACGGGGGGGGGCAAGCGUUGUUCGGAAUUACUGGGCGUAAAGGGCGCGUAGGCGGCUUGGCAAGUGGAUGGUGAAAUCCCUCGGCUUAACCGAGGAACUGCCGUCCAAACUGCUUUGCUUGAGACCGGGAGAGGUGAGUGGAAUUCCCAGUGUAGCGGUGAAAUGCGUAGAUAUUGGGAGGAACACCGGUGGCGAAGGCGGCCCUCUGGACCGGUACUGACGCUGAUGCGCGAAAGCGUGGGGAGCGAACAGG